rnacentral:rRNA from 1 species
UACGUAGGUGGCAAGCGUUGUCCGGAUUUACUGGGCGUAAAGGAUGCGUAGGCGGAAUAUUAAGUCAGAUGUGAAAUACCCGGGCUCAACCUGGGGGGUGCAUUUGAAACUGGUAUUCUAGAGUGCGGGAGAGGAAAGUGGAAUUCCUAGUGUAGCGGUGAAAUGCGUAGAGAUUAGGAAGAACACCAGUGGCGAAGGCGACUUUCUGGACCGUAACUGACGCUGAGGCAUGAAAGCGUGGGGAGCAAACAGG